rnacentral:rRNA from 1 species
UACGUAGGUGGCGAGCGUUGUCCGGAUUUACUGGGCGUAAAGCGCGCGCAGGCGGUUCGUUAAGUCCGGUGUGAAAGCUCCCGGCUCAACUGGGAGAGGUCAUUGGAUACUGGCGGACUCGAGGGAUGCAGAGGAAGGUGGAAUUCCCGGUGUAGUGGUGAAAUGCGUAGAGAUCGGGAGGAACACCAGUGGCGAAGGCGGCAUCCUGGACCGAUACUGACGCUGAGGAGCGAAAGCCAGGGGAGCAAACGGG